ACGGCCAUACCAUGCUGAAUAUACAGGCUCUCGUUCGAUCACCACAGUCAAACAUCGUCGGGCGCGGUCAGUACUUGGGAGGGUUACUACCUGGGAAUACCGCGUGCUGUUU